rnacentral:rRNA from 1 species
UACGUAGGGGUCGAGCGUUUGUUCGGAAUUACUGGGCGUAAAGGGCGCGUAGGCGGCCCGCUAAGUCGAACGUGAAAUCCCCGAGCUCAACUCGGGAACUGCGUCCGAUACUGGGUGGCUUGAAUCCGGGAGAGGGAUGCGGAAGUUCCAGGUGUAGCGGUGAAAUGCGUAGAUAUCUGGAGGAACACCGGUGGCGAAGGCGGCAUCCUGGACCGGCAUUGACGCUGAGGCGCGAAAGCUAGGGGAGCAAACAGGG